AAGUCACUGACAUUAGAUACCCGUGUAGUCCAGGGUGUAAACGCUGCAGACUUGGUGUGGUUAAAUCCUUCGAGGGUAUUCAGUGCCGGAGAGAAGUUGUUAAGUCUGCUACUUGGGGAGUACGUCCGCAAGGAUGAAACUUAAAGGAAUUGGCGGGGGAGCACCGCAACGGGAGGAGCGUGCGGUUUAAUUGGAUUCAACACCGGAAAACUCACCAGGGGAGACUGUUACAUGAAACCCAGACUAAUGAUCUUGGUUGAUUUUCAG
rnacentral:rRNA from 1 species